AACCGUUAUAACCGGCGAUACCCGAAUGGGGAAACCCAGUGUGACUCGUCACACUAUCAUUAACUGAAUCCAUAGGUUAAUGAGGCGAACCGGGGGAACUGAAACAUCUAAGUACCCCGAGGAAAAGAAAUCAACCGAGAUUCCCCCAGUAGCGGCGAGCGAACGGGGAGGAGCCCAGAGCCUGAAUCAGCAUGUGUGUUAGUGGAAGCGUCUGGAAAGGCGCGCGAUACAGGGUGACAGCCCCGUACACAAAAGCGCAUGUGCUGUGAGCUCGAUGAGUAGGGCGGGACACGUGGUAUCCUGUCUGAAUAUGGGGGGACCAUCCUCCAAGGCUAAAUACUCCUGACUGACCGAUAGUGAACCAGUACCGUGAGGGAAAGGCGAAAAGAACCCCGGCGAGGGGAGUGAAAAAGAACCUGAAACCGUGUACGUACAAGCAGUGGGAGCACAGGUUUACCUGUGUGACUGCGUACCUUUUGUAUAAUGGGUCAGCGACUUAUAUUCUGUAGCAAGGUUAACCGAAUAGGGGAGC
rnacentral:rRNA from 1 species